CUACCUGCACUCAAGUAUGAGAUUUUGAUCUAAAUUUAUGUUUAAAUAUAAUCUAGAUAUGAAUUAGAUAUGAUCUAAUUAUACUUAGAUAUAUUUAGUAUAUGCUGAUUUUAGAUUUCAGAUAUACAUACAUGCAUAUUAGUUCGUGUCAUAGAUCCUAUAUGGUGAUUUAGAUUUGAUCGAAGCAUACAUUAUGGAUUAAAUUAUUUAAUCUACAUAUGCUCCACUAU
rnacentral:lncRNA from 1 species